rnacentral:misc_RNA from 1 species
GAAGCUAUUGAGCUUUUUAAUCAGAUGGAGAAGGUAGAGAGAAAGAAGCUUGAUCACUUGAGUUUCACCGCUGUCCUCACUGCUUGUAGCCAUGCUGGAAGGGUUGAACUUGGACAAAGUUUGUUUCUUUUGAUGCAAGAGAAGUACAAUGUUGUUCCAAGAUUGGAGCAUUAUGCAUGCAUAGUUGACCUACUUGGUAGAGCUGG